CGUGGCUGCCACGGCGGAGGCCGGCGGCCGACGGGCCAUCUCCCCCGGUCACGGAGGAAACAGGGCCGGCGGUCAAUUCCGAUCGCCGGCGCCGGAGAUUUCAAGGAAAAGAGACUCAAAAACAGAGUCUCUUUCCCGUCAGAAGAUCGGCGACAUUCGUCGCCGGCCACCGCACACAAAUGCACGGGGGAAAGAGGAAGGA
rnacentral:lncRNA from 1 species